rnacentral:rRNA from 1 species
CCUACGGGCGGCAGCAGUAGGGAAUCUUCCACAAUGGACGAAAGUCUGAUGGAGCAACGCCGCGUGAGUGAAGAAGGGUUUCGGCUCGUAAAGCUCUGUUGGUAGGGAAGAAAGAAAGAGGGAGUAAGGGGCCAUGAGUGGACGGUAAGGACGGAGAAAGGGACGGCUAACUACGUGCCAGCAGACGCGGUCAUACGUAUGUGGCAAGCGUUGUCCGGAUUUCUUGGGCGUAAAGCGAGUGCAGGCGGUUCAUUUAGUCUGAUUUGAAAGCCUUCGGCUCCACCCUGGAAUUGCAUCAGAAACUUUUGAACUUGAGUGCAGAAGAGGAGAGUGGAACUCCAUGUGUAGCGGUGGAAUGCGUAGAUAUAUGGAAGAACACCAGUGGCGAAGGCGGCUCUCUUGUCUGCAACUGCCGCUGAUGCUCGACCGCAUGGGUAGCGAACAGGAUUAGAUACCCCUGUAGUC